UACGUAGGGUGCAAGCGUUAAUCGGAAUUACUGGGCGUAAAGCGUGCGCAGGCGGUUUUGUAAGUCUGUCGUGAAAUCCCCGGGCUCAACCUGGGAAUUCGCGAUGGAGACUGCAAGGCUAGAAUCUGGCAGAGGGGGGUAGAAUUCCACGUGUGAGCAGUGAAAUGCGUAGAGAUGUGGAGGAACACCGAUGGCGAAGGCAGCCCCCUGGG
rnacentral:rRNA from 1 species